UGGUGGAGUGAUUUGUCUGCUUAAUUGCGAUAACGAGCGAGACCUUACUCUGCUAAAUAGCCAGGCUAGCUUUGGCUGGUCGCCGGCUUCUUAGAGGGACUAUCGGCUCAAGCCGAUGGAAGUUUGAGGCAAUAACA
rnacentral:rRNA from 1 species